GACGAACCGUGCGAACGUUGUUCGGAAUCACUGGGCUUAAAGGGCGCGUAGGCGGGUUUGCAAGUCUGCGGUGAAAGCCCCCAGCUUAACUGGGGAAGUGCCGUGGAUACUGCGAGUCUUGAGGAGGGUAGGGGCAUCUGGAACAUUGGGUGGAGCGGUGAAAUGCGUUGAUAUCCAAUGGAACUCCGGUGGCGAAGGCGAGGUGCUGGACCCUUUCUGACGCUGAGGCGCGAAAGCCAGGGGAGCGAACGGG
rnacentral:rRNA from 1 species